CCGGCGCACGGGUGCGUAACGCGUAUGCAAUCUACCUUAUACUGGAGGAUAGCCCGAGGAAACUCGGAUUAAUACUCCAUAGCAUUAUGAAGUGGCAUCACUUUAUAAUUAAAGAUUUAUUGGUAUAAGAUGAGCAUGCGUCUGAUUAGUUAGUUGGUAAGGUAACGGCUUACCAAGACAAUGAUCAGUAGGGGUUCUGAGAGGAUGAUCCCCCACACUGGCACUGAGAUACGGGCCAGACUCCUACGGGAGGCAGCAGUAGGGAAUAUUGGUCAAUGGAGGAGACUCUGAACCAGCCAUGCCGCGUGCAGGAAGAAGGCCUUCUGGGUUGUAAACUGCUUUUGACAGGGAAGAAAACGGCUAUGCGUAGCUAACUGACGGUACCUGUAGAAUAAGCACCGGCUAACUCCGUGCCAGCAGCCGCGGUAAGACGGAGGAUGCAAGUGUUAUCCGGAAUCACUGGGCGUAAA
rnacentral:rRNA from 12 species